rnacentral:rRNA from 1 species
UUCUUGAGUGUGUACUUGUUAAGCCUUUUAAGAAAAAAGUUAUUAACUUAAGGAAUUAUAACAAAGAAGCAACACGUAAAUGGAUUUUCCAUUUUUUAGUGUGUAUCAAUCGAGUUUCUGACCUAUCAGCUUUUGAUGUUAGGGUAUUGGCCUAACAUGGCUAUGACGGGUAACGGGGAAUUAGAGUUCGAUUCCGGAGAGGGAGCCUGAGAAAUAGCUACCACAUCUAAGGAAGGCAGCAGGCGCGUAAAUUACCCAAUUCUAAAGAAGAGAGGUAGUGACAAGAAAUAACAAUACAAGGCCAAUCUGGCCUUGUAAUUGGAAUGAUGGGAAUUUAAAACCUUCCCAAAACUCAAUUGGAGGGCAAGUCUGGUGCCAGCAGCCGCGGUAAUUCCAGCUCCAAUAGCGUAUAUUAAAAUUGUUGCAGUUAAAACGCUCGUAGUUGAAUUUCAAAGAAUCGAUAUUUUAAGUAACGCUUUGUAGAUUAAUCCACAUAACUGAUACUACGUAUCGACUUUGUGCGCAUUUUUUUACUUAUGUGUUCUUUUAAUUAAAAUGAUUCUUUUUAAGAUCUUUCUUUUUUGCUUCGGCAUUUUAGGAGAUCUUGUUACUUUGAGUAAAUUAGAGUGUUCAAAGCAAACAGAUUAUAGCAUCUUUAUGCGUUUGAAUACUACAGCAUGGAAUAACAAAAUUGAACAAGUCAGAAUUUUGUUCUUUUUUCUUAUUUUGGCUUAGUUACGAUUAAUAGGAGUAGCUUGGGGGCAUUUGUAUUCAGAUGUCAGAGGUGAAAUUCUUAGAUUUUCUGGAGACAAACAACUGCGAAAGCAUUUGCCUAAAAUACUUCCAUUAAUCAAGAACGAAAGUUAAGGGAGUGAAGACGAUCAGAUACCGUCGUAAUCUUAACCAUAAACUAUGCCGACUAGGC